GGGGCGGUCGCUUAACGGUAAAGCACACGGUUCAAAUUUCAGAUCUCCAAUACGGCUUUGCAUACCUCGUGGUUGUGUGCUUCGUGGUUGCUCCCAUGCAGGUAAAUUGGAGUCUGAUUCGAAAGACUGUGGAAUGCCGGUUCGAAUCCCGCCUACUCCA